rnacentral:rRNA from 1 species
GUUGCUUAGACAACCAGGAUGUUGGCUUAGAAGCAGCCAUCAUUUAAAGAGUGCGUAAUAGCUCACUGGUCGAGUGACACUGCGCCGAAAAUGUACCGGGGCUAAACGGAUUACCGAAGCUGUGGAUGGACAUCGUAGAUGUCCGUGGUAGGAGAGCGUUCUAAGGGCGUUGAAGUCAGACCGGAAGGACUGGUGGAGCGCUUAGAAGUGAGAAUGCCGGUAUGAGUAACGAAAGACGGGUGAGAAUCCCGUCCACCGAAUGCCUAAGGUUUCCUGAGGAAGGCUCGUCCGCUCAGGGUUAGUCGGGACCUAAGUCGAGGCCGAUAGGCGUAGACGAUGGACAACAGGUUGAUAUUCCUGUACCACCUCCCCGCCGUU